AUUGAACGCUGGCGGCAUGCCUUACACAUGCAAGUCGAACGGUAACAGGUCUUCGGAUGCUGACGAGUGGCGAACGGGUGAGUAAUGCAUCGGAACGUGCCCAGUUGUGGGGGAUAACUGCUCGAAAGAGCAGCUAAUACCGCAUACGACCUGAGGGUGAAAGCGGGGGAUCGCAAGACCUCGCGCAAUUGGAGCGGCCGAUGUCAGAUUAGGUAGUUGGUGGGGUAAAGGCCUACCAAGCCGACGAUCUGUAGUUGGUCUGAGAGGACGACCAGCCACACGGGGACUGGGACACGGCCCAGACUCCGACGGGAGGCAGCAGUGGGGAAUUUUGGACAAUGGGCGCAAGCCUGUUCCAGCAAUGCCGCGUGCAGGAAGAAGGCCUUCGGGUUGUAAACUGCUUUUGUCAGGGAAGAAAUCCUCUGGGUUAAUACCCCGGGGGGAUGACGGUACCUGAAGAAUAAGCACCGGCUAACUACGUGCCAGCAGCCGCCGUAA
rnacentral:rRNA from 1 species